CGGAGCCUGUGCUCCGCAACGGGAGAGGCCACGACAGUGAGAGAAGAUUAGCAUGGCCCCUGCGCAAGGAUGACACGCAAAUGCGUGUAGCAUUCCAUGUUUUU
rnacentral:snRNA from 1 species